GCGUCAGUAGUGCAAUGGGUUAGAGCGCGCGCCCCUGGAUAGAGUAAGGCGCGGGAUCGAGUCCCGCCUGAUGCA